rnacentral:lncRNA from 1 species
UCAAGAAUUGAAGACAUUUUCUUUCGGAAAAAAAAUAAAGGAUUGAAACCCUUUUCCUUUUGAAAAUAAAAUUUCAUAUAUGAUAUGUUUUAUUUUCUGUUAAAUGCUUUUGGCAAAGACAUGGAUGGGUACCAAGUAAUUAUCAGUACUCUUUCUAUCUAAGAUAUGCUAAAGAGAAAGAAAAAGUGAGUGAGAAAGACAGAGAGCAACUGGUGUGGUUUUCAGGCUCCUCUGCCCAUUGAUGGAGUGCCGGAUCAUGUAAAUAGUUAUUAUUUAUUUUUUUUGUGUUUUUCUGAAGGGUUGUUUGCAUUUGAAGGGUUAUUUUUGUUUUAGAUUUUGCCGUCUUUGUUUCGGCUUUGUGUUGGCUUCCAUUGGAGGCUAUGAAGUUGGUGAUUAGUCAGCGUCGGAGUUUUGAGAUUGCUCUGAAGGUGAUUCCAUAGCAGUGUUUAGACUGAAAUUGCUAUGGGCAAACUCUUCUCCAUUGAGUGUUGAUGUCGAAUCAUUUGGAGCCUUUCUUUGUUUUCAUGGUGCUGUUGGUUAAUGGGCUGAUCGAUUUGCUUAUCAGCUCGUUGGUUUGGGUUUCUUCGACCUUACUGGUUGCUGUCAAGCAUGGGUUUUGAUCAGUUGGAUGGAUUUGGGUUUGUGAGGAUCAGAAUUGUGGGGAUUGUUUGCUUGUUGCUGACAUCGAUGCGGUCAAGUGUUUUUGAUCGGUGUCGCUAUGGCGGUGUUGUAUGAUGCUGGAACGACUCGGUGCAGUGCUUGUUGGCGUUGUUUAGAACGCUCAAAUGGUUGAGCCUUUUGGCAAUGGGCUCGUUUUUCUGGGUAUGGGCUCUUGUGAUUUGUGGGUUUUCUUUUGUUGUUGUAAGUUUUACGCUUAGCCCAAUAAGCCAUGUCAAAGUACAAUAGAUUUGCGUUCUUUUAGAGAAAAAAAAAAAUCUGUC